UACGGGGGGGGCAAGCGUUGUUCGGAAUUACUGGGCGUAAAGGGCUCGUAGGCGGCCAACUAAGUCAGACGUGAAAUCCCUCGGCUUAACCGGGGAACUGCGUCUGAUACUGGAUGGCUUGAAUCCGGGAGAGGGAUGCGGAAUUCCAGGUGUAGCGGUGAAAUGCGUAGAUAUCUGGAGGAACACCGGUGGCGAAGGCGGGGUCUCUGGGCCGAUACUGACGCUGAGGAGCGAAAGCGUGGGGAGCGAACAGG
rnacentral:rRNA from 1 species